rnacentral:lncRNA from 1 species
UGGAGGAUAUUAGGAUAGGAAGGUCAAGGAUCCAGCGACCAGGAAUUGAAGAUACCGAACAUUUAGGAGAUAUGUAAAUGAUCGGAGUUAUAUUAACCCCAAAGCCGAAACACUAUUCAUUAUCCAUGGAUGCCAUAUGUUUCCUAUAUUCUUUUUUUACAAUAUGAAAACUAACCACUAAAUAAAUAAAGAAGUACAGUGAAAAAAAAUUCAUACAAACAUAUUGUGAAAUAACAACAUCAAACUUAUACCAUGAAUGCGAGAGAAAGAAUUCCUUAUAAUAAAAAUGAACAGAGUUUCGCCACGUAAAGAGAGAAAUAAAAAAAAUAAAAAAAAGAAAGAAUCACAUAUGCCACACAAAACCUAUAUUUC